rnacentral:rRNA from 1 species
GUGUCAGCCGCCGCGGUAAUACGGAGGGGGCUAGCGUUGUUCGGAAUUACUGGGCGUAAAGCGCACGUAGGCGGUUGCGCAUGUCAGAUGUGAAAGCCCCGGGCUUAACCUGGGAAUUGCAUUUGAAACUGCGCGGCUAGAGGCCGGAAGAGGGUAGUGGAAUUCCCAGUGUAGAGGUGAAAUUCGUAGAUAUUGGGAAGAACACCAGUGGCGAAGGCGGCUACCUGGUCCGGUUCUGACGCUGAGGUGCGAAAGCGUGGGGAGCAAACAGGAUUAGAAACCCCCGUAGUCC